AGCGAUUCGUCGAGUUUCUGCAGAUGGCGAAACGUUCGUGUCGUAGCUAUCGCGAGUCGAUUUAUUACGCGUCCUUUCAUCGUUUAGUUUCGUUCGUUUUAAUCGGUUACGUGUCAAUUAUCGUACAACGUAGUUAAAAGGUCUGAACGGAUUAUAAAACCUAUCUUAACGCGGUAGCUAACAGAAAUUAUUUCAGAUAUCGAGCGGUUCGUAGCGUUCGAUGAUAUGUGUAUCUAGUGAUAAACCGCUGGGGAUUUUGUGCGCUCUCUGUGGCGGGAAAUUGCCAACUCUUUUGAACUUCCUUAUUCAAGCAUUCCGCUAAUAAACUUCUUGGGUAGCUAAUUCACAAUGGAGAUCUGCAUCGAUUCUCUAGAAUCAGCGCGAAACGCGAUCGAAGGCGGUGCAGUUAGACUGGAAGUUUGUUCCGCCCUUUCCGAGGGUGGCUUAACUCCCACACCUGGUUUCCUACAUAAAAUUAAAAGCUUUUCUCCUGUACCCGUUUAUGCUAUGCUCCGAGUACGAGCUGGUGACUUUGUAUAUUCGAAAGAAGAAAUGGACGUGAUGUUGCAAGACUUAAAAAUUUUGAAAGAUCAAGGAGCCGAUGGCUUCGUGUUCGGAGCAUUGAAGUCAAAUGACGAAAUCGAUGUAGAAUCUUGCAAAAUCAUUCUUUCUGCUGCUGAACCGUUACCUGUAACAUUCCAUCGUGCCUUCGACGAAGUCGCUGAUCCUUUCGAAUCUUUGGACACGUUAAUUGCACUUGGUUUCGAGAGAAUUCUGACGUCCGGCCAGAAAGAUACCGCGGUAGAAGGAUUGGAGUUGAUAGAAAAACUGGUGAAAAAAGCUGGAGACAAAAUUAUCGUGAUGCCGGGUUCUAGUAUAACCACGGAUAAUAUUUUGAAGAUAAAAAAGGAUUCUGGGGCUAAGGAAUUUCACGCGUCAGCCAAGAGUAAGAUGUUGACUUUCGCUGGAGGGAACAAAAUUAAAAUCGGUGCUAGCAAAGAAACUCGUAUGCUGGUGACAGACAGGAAAUUAGUGCAAGAAAUGGUUGAAAUUAUAACGAACGCGACAUAAGUUGAUCUCGAUGAUAAGACACGGGCAUUUAAAGCGAGGAAUAAUUGCCUUCAAUUCAGGAACCUGUUUCUUUUCUAACGUUCUAAGCGGAUUGUAAUAACCGAUUAUCAAAUAACGUUUUAAAACUGUAAUAUUCUGGUUUUACUAUAUUUGUUUGCGUUUGUCGAAUAUAUUAUUAUCCACCAGACAUAUAUUUCAAUAGCGACACAAUAUUUUAUUAUUUCUUUAUUCCGCUUGAAGAGGGAAUUGUUAUAAAAAUAAGUAAUUGAUUGUAAUGUAUUAACAGAGGAUCGUAAAACCUAGGAUCUCCGCAGACCGCAAGGUUUUUAACUUUGCUUAAUUAAAAAAUAAAGACGAUCAUCGUUACAAGAUAAAUCGCUAAAUAUUAUUCAAUAUUCCACGCGCUAUGUGUCUACGAAGUCGUUAAAUAAUUUAUCUCGAAAGAAGCGCAGAAAAAAAUCUGCAAUAUUCAUUAAUUUUUAUGACCUUUUUUUAACGGGUAUUGCUGGAAAAUUGAGUUGUGUCGUCAUUGUAGGAUGAAAAUAGUUAUUUAUUAUUACGAGCGUAAUCAGUUGCAUAAUCAAUGAAAUUUGAACGACCAUAUGUUUCAUUUAUGAUGUUAUAAAAUUGCGUUUCGAGUUAAAAUCGAAGGAAAAAAUUAAUUAAAACUACCACGCAGAAAGUUCGUCUUUAAAUACCGUGAUUUGCAUAUAAAGUACAACUCGAUCGUUUAUCGGUGUAAAAAGAUCUUUAUUUGCAAUAUUUUCCUCGAUGAUUCUCCCGGGAUUCUUCUCGUAUUUAUUUACCCACAAUUUCAUGAAUCUGGGACAAUUUUUCUCAAGAUCGAAACUCGAGAUACAUAAUGUUAUCGAUAAUAAGUAAUCAAGCUAAGAUUAGUGCAAUUAUAAUAUAUUUAUGCUCCUUAUUGUUACAAGCGAUGACCAUGAAUAAAAUUCUUCAAAUCGAGUUCGUGCCGUAACCAUCGAGGAGCGCAUCACAUUCUCCUGCAUACUGGGUUCACAACAAAAUACCAUUAUCAUUCGCGUUCAAAUUGUAAUGGUUUCACGAGAAUAGAGAACAAUCAUCCGAUGAUUCAGAGUCGAUGAAACAACUGGAAGCCCUUCGUUACGUAUACAGGCUGUUUUGAAAGUUGCACUCGUCGAGAUACGUUUCUUGGAAGCUGUGUUUCACCAUUCAAACAAUCACGUUCUUUCUUAUAAUUUUAAGCAUAGUUACCUUUAAUAGUUACCUUUUAAACAUAAGAAUUACCUUAAUUUACUCUUACUGAUCGUACAGUAUUUGCAAUACCAGGUCGAUAAUCAAAAAACAUUCUAAAUUUCGAUCAUGUUUCCUAAACCGAAUUUAUCGAAUUUCAUCUCGUCGCCUCAGAGGCUACAACUUUGAACCGAUCGGAUGGAGGUAGUCAUGAAUCAACGAUGGCAACAUUGCAGCAAUGGGAGUAUGUUUGCAACCAACUCGAAUUUGCAAACGCUUGCGUAACCUCGAGUCGCUGCAACACGAGUCGAUUCGUAAGGGGUCCUUGCAUACGGAAGAUGACGGCGCUGUAGACCGCGCACUUUCGAUUUGCGACACAGCCAUACCGCAAGGAAAAGUGCGUACGCGCUCGCACAUGAUCUAUCGAUUCGAAAACCACUUGUACUGUCGUGCAAGUAAAUCAUAGAUACGCUAACUCGUAGAGUCGCUGUACGAGUUUGACGACAGGAGGGGUAUCGUUAAAAGUCGCGGGUUAUAGCUCGAACCAACUCACUCGAAAUCGUAGAAUUUUACAUAGUACUGCGUUAUAUUGUACUGAUGCACAAUGGCUAUUUCUACUGCGUCAACGCGUUAUCGGAGUAUAUGUCUUACCAGUGUCUGUAUCUACUGUGGCAACG
rnacentral:misc_RNA from 1 species